GGAUGCCAAGUUAAAUUGGAACUCCAGAGAAGCAAUGAAUAAUUUUUUUAGUAUACAUAUGUCCCAUGCACUAUUUGGGACAUACUUACACUAAAUAUAUUGUUAUUUUUCUGAAAUUCAAGUUUAACUGGGCAUC
rnacentral:miRNA from 1 species